GCCUCUGUAGCAUAGUGGCUAAUGCGUCGGUUUCGUAAACCGAAGAUCGCCGGUUCAAAUCCGGUCAGGGGCU
rnacentral:tRNA from 1 species